UUAGGUGCACUUGUAAUAGACACAUUUAUAAGUAUAACCCUAUAAUUAAUUGGAUCCAAUUGUCUUUCCCAUCCAAAUUUGUUAGGGACCCAAACCUGUCUAACUUUCAUGCAUUUGUAGGAUAUCCUUUUCACUUUUUAGUCAUAAUACAAUGGGUGACAAUUGAUAUCAAACACAUCAUGUGAUCUAAGACAGAUGAAUGGGAAAAAACAAGUUUGAAUUGAU
rnacentral:lncRNA from 1 species